GGCUCGCGCCCGCUUUUCCCGGGAGCCGCGGGGAGCGGAGAGCGAGACACCAAACGCUCCCGACGCCGGGAAAGGUACUGGGGAUUGAACCCAGAGCUUUCACUCUGAGGUACGUUCCCAUUCCACCCCACCCCCACUUUUGAGAUGUGCUAAAUCCAGACUGAGCUCCAAUUUGGAAUCCUCCUGCCUCAGCCUCCUGGAGUAUUGGAAUGACGGGUAUGCAUACCUCACACCCCAAGGCUAAAAUUCUUUAAACUCGCUCAGUGUUCUGAUAGUCAACCUCAAGUGUUCAUUCCCUGCUGGAGGCUUAACUACACCUGGUCAGGUGCUUGGCUUCAUCUGACCUCUUGCAAGACAGUCAUACAACUAACUGCAAAACCAUUAGUAUAUGCAUCCAUACAACAUUUCAUUUGCAAAGUAUUUCCUCAAACUUAAUGCCCUAGAGAAUGUAUCACAACAUAAUAUAUGCGCUAAGCAACUUCACUUUUCAUUUUAUCUUUUUAUAUUUGUAUUUUACUACUGCUUUUGAGAUAGAAUCUCACUGUGUAGUUCAAGCUGGCCUUUAACUCACUGUGUUGCCCAGGCUGGCCUUAAACUCCCUAUGAUCCUCCUGCCUCAGCCUCUACUGGGGAUUACAGGUAUGUGCUGCCACGUCCAGCUUUCCAUUUUACAGAAUUGGAAACACAACUUUUCUCCAAGUUCAUCUACCUAAUGACAGUGGUCAAAGUGAUCAGAAGGUGCUCAGGUCUUACCUGAGACUAGAGUUUCAUCUGUUCAGAUUCAAGCUGCUAUCAGAUAAUAGUACUAAUAUCUCUCUAUGUAUCCCAGGCUGGCCCCGAACUCAAGGAUCCUUCUGCCUCAGACUCCCCAGGUGCUGGGAAUACAGGCUUAGGUUUCCUUGCUUAAAGGCAAUUGUAAUAGCUGAGUGUGAUGCAGGUCUUGUAAUCCCAGCAAUUGGGAGGCUGAGGCAGGAGGAUGGUGGCAGGUUCAAGGCCAGCCUGAGCUACACAGUGAGUUAAUGGCCAGUGAGAUCUGGUCUAUAAAGAAGGAAAAAAAGAGAAGUCCCUGUUGAGAAAGAAAGAAAAGAAAUUGGAGGACUGCAUGUGUGAGACCCUGGGUUCCUCUGGUGGGGGGACCUUAGUUGUAUCUACUUAUAAGGCUGUUUAAGGAGGAAGAGGCAGGUGCUGGACCUUUAAGAAGCAGUGAGUGCUAUUAUUUUCUUUCUUUUUUUUUUUUGGUACUGGAGAUUGAUCUCAGGGCCUUGAGCUUGCGAGGCAGGUGAGGUGCCACUGAGCUACAUCCCCAGCCCAUUCCUGUUUUUUUCAACCCCACCCCUUCCAGCUGCAGCCCAAGUUGUGUUUUCCACUGUCUUCAUUUUUUAGCACUUAGAGAAUCAGCAUGCUAAGCAUCUUCAGUGUACACAGUCCACAAAGCUGAUGGUCCCUGUUAAGGGCUGGCAUGAAUGAAUGAAUGAAAGAAGGGAGGCUUUCCUUACAAAUGCUGUCAGUAGUUCUCCGGCAUCCUUUUAUCUUUCUUCACUCUUAGCCAAUGACUUGGUUCUUAUUUUACUGGAGAAGAAGUAAUCAGGAGCCAGGCACAUACGAGUAAUACCAGCACUCAUCCUGAAGGAAGAAAAUUUCAAGUUUGAGGCCAGCUAACAAGGCCAGUCUGAACUACAUAGUGAGAGCCUGUCUUUAAACAAAAAGGGUAAUCAGGGGCCAGGGAUUUAGCUCAGUGGUUCCUGAGCUUGCCUCACAAGCACAAGGUCCUGAGUUCGAUCCCCAGUAAUGAAAAAAAAAAAAUCCAGGAUGGGGGUAUAGUUCAAGGCCUGGGUUCCCUAGCACCACACACACCACCACUACCACCACCACCACCAUCAACAACAACAACAAAUUCAAACAAAAACCAUCCUUAUGUCACCACCAAUCUGACCAUCCUUACCUUUAUACUCAGACUUCCAUCUUGUUACAUUGAGUUGUCCUUGCUCACAUUUUAAGCCAACUGCCACUCCAAACACAUUUCAUUCUUGCCUACCCAAGGACUAAUUUUCCUGCCCUAUCUACUUUCUCCUGCAUCAUCUACUUUUCUUUCUAUAAAUUCAUUUCGUUAGCAUGCAGAUAUGUUGUAAUAUCUCCAUUUAAAAAAAUAAAACAGCCUGGCAUGGUGGUUCAUGCCUGUCAUCUCAGCAUUGGGGAGGCUGAGGCAGGAGAAUCAGUAUCCGUUCAAGGCCAGCCUGGACUACAUCUUGAGUUCAAGGCCAACCUGAACUAUAUAGCAAGACCCUGUCUCAAAAACCAAAAUAAAAUAAAUAAAGCAAAACAAAACAAAUUUUCUUUAAUCUCCAUGACCUAGUCCAUUGUUCCUAACUGCUGUAAAAUGUUCUAUUAUAUGGUUCCUUAGAUUUUUUUGUUACCCCAAUGAUGAAAUACUAGACUGUCUCUAACUUCUGACUUCCUGCAUCCACAAGCAAGUCUGUAAUAAAUACCUUUGUAUGUGU